rnacentral:misc_RNA from 1 species
GAGAAUCUCUAGCUUCUUCCUCAGUUUCUUUCACUGAGUUCAAAUAUGAGAGAUGAAUUUCUUCUAUCUCAGCAUGUGUUUUCUCUCCAGUAUGCUCUCCAAAGUACACUAUGUAGCUCUGUGAUUCAAUUUAGAACACAACACUAUAUAUAUAUGUGAGUGUUUGUGAUUAAAACAUUCUCAAAAAAUAGAAAACAAUGCC